GAUGAACGCUGGCGGCGUGCCUAAUACAUGCAAGUCGAGCGAACAGAUAAGGAGCUUGCUCCUUUGAAGUUAGCGGCGGACGGGUGAGUAACACGUGGGUAACCUACCUAUAAGACUGGGAUAACUUCGGGAAACCGGAGCUAAUACCGGAUAACAUUUAGAACCGCAUGGUCCUAAAGUGAAAGAUGGUUUUGCUAUCACUUAUAGAUGGACCCGCGCCGUAUUAGCUAGUUGGUAAGGUAACGGCUUACCAAGGCGACGAUACGUAGCCGACCUGAGAGGGUGAUCGGCCACACUGGAACUGAGACACGGUCCAGACUCCUACGGGAGGCAGCAGUAGGGAAUCUUCCGCAAUGGGCGAAAGCCUGACGGAGCAACGCCGCGUGAGUGAUGAAGGGUUUCGGCUCGUAAAACUCUGUUAUUAGGGAAGAACAAAUGUGUAAGUAACUGUGCACAUCUUGACGGUACCUAAUCAGUAAGCCACGGCUAACUACGUGCCAGCAGCCGCGGUAAUACGUAGGUGGCAAGCGUUAUCCGGAAUUAUUGGGCGUAAAGCGCGCGUAGGCGGUUUCUUAAGUCUGAUGUGAAAGCCCACGGCUCAACCGUGGAGGGUCAUUGGAAACUGGGAAACUUGAGUGCAGAAGAGGAAAGUGGAAUUCCAUGUGUAGCGGUGAAAUGCGCAGAGAUAUGGAGGAACACCAGUGGCGAAGGCGACUUUCUGGUCUGUAACUGACGCUGAUGUGCGAAAGCGUGGGGAUCAAACAGGAUUAGAUACCCUGGUAGUCCACGCCGUAAACGAUGAGUGCUAAGUGUUAGGGGGUUUCCGCCCCUUAGUGCUGCAGCUAACGCAUUAAGCACUCCGCCUGGGGAGUACGACCGCAAGGUUGAAACUCAAAGGAAUUGACGGGGACCCGCACAAGCGGUGGAGCAUGUGGUUUAAUUCGAAGCAACGCGAAGAACCUUACCAAAUCUUGACAUCCUUUGAAAACUCUAGAGAUAGAGCCUUCCCCUUCGGGGGACAAAGUGACAGGUGGUGCAUGGUUGUCGUCGGCUCGUGUCGUGAGAUGUUGGGUUAAGUCCCGCAACGAGCGCAACCCUUAAGCUUAGUUGCCAUCAUUAAGUUGGGCACUCUAGGUUGACUGCCGGUGACAAACCGGAGGAAGGUGGGGAUGACGUCAAAUCAUCAUGCCCCUUAUGAUUUGGGCUACACACGUGCUACAAUGGACAAUACAAAGGGCAGCUAAACCGCGAGGUCAUGCAAAUCCCAUAAAGUUGUUCUCAGUUCGGAUUGUAGUCUGCAACUCGACUACAUGAAGCUGGAAUCGCUAGUAAUCGUAGAUCAGCAUGCUACGGUGAAUACGUUCCCGGGUCU
rnacentral:rRNA from 1 species